rnacentral:misc_RNA from 1 species
GCAAGUUAUCCCAGCCUAGUCGCAACAGAUGCCUCAUCCUCGAAGAUCUCAAUCUCCUCACAAUUCCUGCUAAUGUUUUGUUGAAAAGCUUCGCAGGUCGAGCCUUGGUGGCAUAUUCAAUCUCUUACUCCCCUUUGAAGGGUUUCUCCAAACUCCUUGUGGUUCUACUGAUUGAUUUACUUCCCCUUCCCCAUUCAUUUUUCUUUAAUUUUUCAUAUCGUUUGCGCUUUUCUAAGGUUUAUUUUUCAUAACAUUUUAUUAAAAUUGCAAAAAUU